rnacentral:lncRNA from 1 species
GCAUUUACGUUGUGUUUCUUUAGUUAUUUUAGUGUUUAAAGUCACUUUUGUGUGUUUUCAGAUUCCAAAGCCGAAGUGUGCAAAAUGAUGUAAUUUGGAGCCUUUUGGAGCAAAAGGAAUGGAUGAAUUGAAGACUUGAAGAAAUUAGGAUUCCUAAUCAACGAAGGAUUCCUAAUCGACGAAGGAUUCCUGAUAGGAGCAUAUUUAUGCGCCUUAGUUAGCUAGUUAUUAUGCAUUUCCAUGGUGUUUUCUUAGUUAAAGUAGUCUUUUAAGCUAGUUUUAUGUGUUUUCAGGUUUUAAGGGCAAAGCAUAUAAAAAGAUGCAUUUUGGAGCAUUUUGGAGCAAAAUGGAGCUUGGAAUGAAUGUCACAUAUUUGGAGCCAAGGGUUUGGACGAAUUUGAAGACUUGAAGAUGAUGAUUCCUACUUGAAGAAGGAUUCCUAAUUGAAGUAGGAAAGUUAAGCCAAGGUUUCCUACUUUGGUUUGAUUUUUUCCUAAAUGUCCUUAUGUUCCAUCAACUAUGAAGAUUUCCUAAGCACUCUAGGACAUCAAGCACACAUUUCUUGCAUGGUCCAAGUUAAUGCCGCACCUCACAUACCCUUUCCACACUUUCCCUAACCCUUGUCUUCCUUGCCGUGCAAGGGAAAGCCCACCUUCCCUAUUUCCUUGCAUUUAAACCACAUUCCCUUUUAGUUUAAGGAGUGCCGCAUAUUUCCUUGCCUUUUCCCUUAGUUUCUGAC